CCGGCGGUAUGCUUAAGACAUGCAAGUCGAACGGAAUCUUCGGAUUCAGUGGCGGACGGGUGAGUAACACGUGGGAAUCUACUGAGUAGUGGGGGACAGCCCGGCGAAAGCCGGAUUAAUACCGCAUACGCCCUACGGGGGAAAGGCGCAAGCCGCUAUUUAAUGAGCCCGCGUAAGAUUAGCUAGUUGGUAGGGUAAAGGCUUACCAAGGCAACGAUCUUUAGCUGGUCUGAGAGGAUGGCCAGCCACAUCGGGACUGAGACACGGCCCGGACUCCUACGGGAGGCAGCAGUCGGGAAUAUUGGACAAUGGGCGCAAGCCUGAUCCAGCAAUACCGCGUGUGUGAAGAAGGCCUGCGGGUUGUAAAGCACUUUCAGUUGGGAAGAUAAUGACGUUACCAACAGAAGAAGCACCGGCUAACUCCGUGCCAGCAGCCGCGGUAAUACGGAGGGUGCAAGCGUUAAUCGGAAUUACUGGGCGUAAAGCGUGCGUAGGCGGUUUUUUAAGUCAGAUGUGAAAUCCCCGGGCUCAACCUGGGAACUGCAUCUGAUACUGGGAGACUAGAGUGUGGGAGAGGAGAGUGGAAUUUCCGGUGUAGCGGUGAAAUGCAUAGAGAUCGGAAGGAACAUCAGUGGCGAAGGCGACUCUCUGGACCAACACUGACGCUGAGGCACGAAAGCGUGGGUAGCAAACAGGAUUAGAUACCCUGGUAGUC
rnacentral:rRNA from 1 species